rnacentral:rRNA from 1 species
AGUGAACGCUGGCGGUAGGCCUAACACAUGCAAGUCGAACGGCAGCACAGUAAGAGCUUGCUCUUACGGGUGGCGAGUGGCGGGCGGGUGAGGAAUACAUCGGAAUCUACUUUUUCGUGGGGGAUAACGUAGGGAAACUUACGCUAAUACCGCAUACGACCUACGGGUGAAAGCAGGGGAUCUUCGGACCUUGCGCGAUUGAAUGAGCCGAUGUCGGAUUAGCUAGUUGGCGGGGUAAAGGCCCACCAAGGCGACGAUCCGUAGCUGGUCUGAGAGGAUGAUCAGCCACACUGGAACUGAGACACGGUCCAGACUCCUACGGGAGGCAGCAGUGGGGAAUAUUGGACAAUGGGCGCAAGCCUGAUCCAGCCAUACCGCGUGGGUGAAGAAGGCCUUCGGGUUGUAAAGCCCUUUUGUUGGGAAAGAAAAGCAGCAGGUUAAUACCCCGCUGCUCUGACGGUACCCAAAGAAUAAGCACCGGCUAACUUCGUG